rfam:Camelus ferus unplaced genomic scaffold scaffold1061, whole genome shotgun sequence.
GAGGGUAUAGCUCAGUGGAAGAGCGCAUGGUUAGCAUGCAUGAGGUCAUGGGUUUGAUCCUCGGUAUCUCCA